GUGAUUUUUAUCUGCAUUGGAUCUACUUUAUUAAACCCCACAGCCUGAAUAGCAGCUACUAGGGUAGUGCCAGUGGAUGUAUAUGGAGACUGGGCUGGAAUGGCUGAGUGUGUGGGUGCACAGCUGGGAGCAGCCAUGGCAGUAAGUAGACAGCCAGUAACUUCUGAUAAAAGGGAGUAUCUGAAAACUGAAAGGCCCCAUAGGAAUGCCAACAACAUUUCAGAAGUUUUCAACCCAAAUUAAAGAUGAAAAAAGUGAAGUAGAUGAUGCAAUAAAGAGUUGGCAAAUUCCCAGCUGGGCGCGGUGGCUCACGCCUGUAAUCCCAGCACUUUGGAAGGCCAAGGCGGGCGGAUCACGAGCAUGGUCUAUAGAAGAAGAAAGAAUUCAUCAGUAUUUCUAGGAAUAUCCCCAAUCAUAAUCCUAAGACUCCAGCUCAAAACAAUUACUGGCAACUCUUCAAUAAUUAAUUAAAGGAAGGCAUACCCUC
rnacentral:lncRNA from 1 species